CAGCCGCCGCGGUAAUACGAAGGGUGCAAGCGUUAAUCGGAAUUACUGGGCGUAAAGCGUGCGUAGGCGGUUUGUUAAGUCUGCUGUGAAAUCCCCGGGCUCAACCUGGGAAUGGCAGUGGAUACUGGCAAGCUAGAGUGUGUCAGAGGAUGGUGGAAUUCCCGGUGUAGCGGUGAAAUGCGUAGAGAUCGGGAGGAACAUCAGUGGCGAAGGCGGCCAUCUGGGACAACACUGACGCUGAGGCACGAAAGCGUGGGGAGCAAACAGGAUUAGAUACCCGCGUAGUCCCUGUCUCUUAUAC
rnacentral:rRNA from 1 species